UACGUAGGGGGCAAGCGUUGUCCGGAUUUACUGGGCGUAAAGGGCGCGUAGGCGGUCAGCACAAGUCAGUUGUGAAAUCUCCGGGCUUAACUCGGAAAGGUCAACUGAUACUGUGCGACUAGAGUGCAGAAGGGGCAACUGGAAUUCUCGGUGUAGCGGUGAAAUGCGCAGAUAUCGGGAAGAACACCCGUGGCGAAGGCGGCUCUCUGGGACGGUACUGACGCUGAGACGCGAAAGCGUGGGGAGCGAACAGG
rnacentral:rRNA from 1 species